rnacentral:rRNA from 1 species
GAAGGUGGCGAGCGUUGUUCGGAAUCACUGGGCUUAAAGCGCACGUAGGCGGAGUGGGAAAGUGUCUUGUGAAAUCCCACGGCUUAACCGUGGAAUUGCUCGGCAAACUUCCCACUCUUGAGGCAAGUAGGGGUACAUGGAACUCUUGGUGGAGCGGUGGAAUGCGUAGAUAUCAAGAGGAACGCCAAUGGUGAAGACAGUGUACUGGGCUUGUCCUGACGCUGAGGUGCGAAAGCGUGGGGAGCGAACGGGAUUAGAUACCCCGGUAGUCCACGCCGUAAACGAUGUCUACUAGGUUGCGGAGGUUCUGACGCCGUCGCAGUCGAAGCAAAAGUGUUAAGUAGACCGCCUGGGGAGUACGGUCGCAAGGCUA